rfam:Erinaceus europaeus unplaced genomic scaffold scaffold00004, whole genome shotgun sequence
GGAAAUCUGGAUGCUUUAUCUAUAACCUCACUGAACAUUAGAGUUCUUUAGGCUUAUCUGAUUGGCCCCUCUCUGCUCCUAGUGAGUCCCUCCUGAUACUGUAUUCUCAGUAGAAAAGGGUAGCUUUCCUUGAGGAGAGAUAGAGGGUCAGCAGGCUAAGGUAUUCUGUAGCGGGACUCUAGCUAGAACCUUCAAACAAGCUCUCAAGUUCCAGCCACCCAGGGUAACUAUCACUUGAACAGUGCACUCACUGUUUUCCCUUGUGUAUGCACUCAGAUUGAA